rnacentral:rRNA from 1 species
UACAGAGGUCCCAAGCGUUAUUCGGAAUUAUUGGGCGUAAAGGGCGCGUAGGCGGCCCGGUAAGUCAAAGGUGAAAUCCCUCGGCUCAACUGAGGAACUGCCUUUGAAACUGUCGGGCUUGAGGCCGGGAGGGGGUAGCGGAAUUCCCAGUGUAGCGGUGAAAUGCGUAGAUAUUGGGAGGAACACCAGUGGCGAAGGCGGCUACCUGGACCGGUUCUGACGCUGAGGCGCGAAAGCGUGGGGAGCAAACAGG